UUUAUUGGAGAGUUUGAUCCUGGCUCAGGAUGAACGCUGGCGGCGUGCCUAAUACAUGCAAGUCGAGCGAACGGAUUAAGAGCUUGCUCUUAUGAAGUUAGCGGCGGACGGGUGAGUAACACGUGGGUAACCUGCCCAUAAGACUGGGAUAACUCCGGGAAACCGGGGCUAAUACCGGAUAACAUUUUGAACCGCAUGGUUCGAAAUUGAAAGGCGGCUUCGGCUGUCACUUAUGGAUGGACCCGCGUCGCAUUAGCUAGUUGGUGAGGUAACGGCUCACCAAGGCAACGAUGCGUAGCCGACCUGAGAGGGUGAUCGGCCACACUGGGACUGAGACACGGCCCAGACUCCUACGGGAGGCAGCAGUAGGGAAUCUUCCGCAAUGGACGAAAGUCUGACGGAGCAACGCCGCGUGAGUGAUGAAGGCUUUCGGGUCGUAAAACUCUGUUGUUAGGGAAGAACAAGUGCUAGUUGAAUAAGCUGGCACCUUGACGGUACCUAACCAGAAAGCCACGGCUAACUACGUGCCAGCAGCC
rnacentral:rRNA from 1 species